ensembl:lncRNA LINC02790 long intergenic non-protein coding RNA 2790
AGGAGAGAAAUCAUGUGAGCUUGAGAAGGAAUCAGAUUCUGCAUAUAUUUCCAAGUUAACAUGAACAAGAUUUUCUGAAAGACUGCUAUGGAGUCUGAGAAAAAAUGUCAAAGGUAGUGCCAAAAUUGUCACUUAAAGAACUGCAGGAAUGGAGUUGGCAUUUACAGAAUUUGGAAGAGAAGCAGGUUUAGUGAUAAAGACCAGAAGCACAGAGCUAAGCAUAUUAAAUAUUGAGGACAUGAAGAGGAAAGAACUGACAGAGGAGGUGAAGAAAGGUGAUCAGGAAGAGCCAUCAAAGUGUUAUCCUGGAAUUCAAGUGAAGACAGUGUUUCAAAGUGGAAAUGAACAGUGUCCUGUAACCCUCAGAGUGAGACUAGAGUCAGAAUGCAGGCUUUUCUCAUUUGAAAUCUAUUGAAUAAACAUCAGUAAAAGAAGCAAUCCAAGUUCUCAUGCCAAAUAUGUAUAUGUCCAAGACCAGGAUUUCUUCAUGUCUGAAUGUGGAUAUGGAGCCUAGAGUACUAGCAAGGUAAGUCCAGGUCCUUACCUCCACCUAAAAGUUCUGCCAUCAAGGAACAUCUGCUCAUUAUCUUCUGUUCACACAUCAAAUGACUUCAAUGUGAUCCCUGGAUGUUCUCCAAAGAGCUGAAGGGAAAUAAAUAUUCUUUCUUUAUCACCAAAUACUUCAACUGCAGAGUGAUUGUGCUACCAAGGCCUGAAACUUCGGAAAAACCUGCAUAACACAAAAUAUAAAAUAUGCCACAGAGAGGAUCCAGAGAGCCCAUCUCCGGUCAGUUAUCUGUAUUUGUAUGUCAACUACAGCAUCAAAAAGCAUAGGCAUGGAUACUAAGGACCCCCUCUGUACACCAACGCCAGUCCAAAGGACAGUGUGUCACUGUGAACUGGAAAUUCAUCUCUCUUCUUCAAUUUUUUUCUACCUACUUUAUGCUUUAUCUCUAAGUUGAGGCUGUUUAUGGCCUCAUCCUCAAUUACCUUGUCCCUCAUUACUCCCAGUUAAUGGAGAUUAAGCUUUGUAUCAUGACUUCCUAACUAAAAUUGAAAUCACAAGACAUCACAUAAAUAAAGUUACAAAUGGAUUAGAUAAA